UCCUGGUGGCUCAGAUGGUAAAGGGUCUGCCUGCAACGCAGGAGACCCAGGUUAGAUUCCUGGGUCAGGAA
rfam:Ovis aries breed Texel chromosome 9, whole genome shotgun sequence.